CCUGAGGAGCGAACACCAAGUUAGGGGAAUGGGCGAGGCAAGCGGGGGCCAAGGUCUGCGGGGGCAACCGCCAGAGACUGGGGGCUGGAGAGGAACCAGACGAGGGUCUUAAUCCGAAUAUAACUGAAUGACAAGGUUUCCCAGCCAGGGGUCUACUAGCCUCUACAGAACAUGCAGGAAAAUGGAGUCCUUCCUCUCCAGGUUGUAAGAGCUGUGAGGUGGCCUCCAACCACUGCUUCACCACCCGGAGACCCUCCUCUGCCAUCACACGUGGGUACCUACAGAGGGAGUGCCAGGACAGGAGGUCAGGACUGAAUUCUCUUCACUCCUCAUCCCUGAACUUUCCUCCCUCCUUCGUUGUGCUGGCAUCAGUACUAUGUGUGUACCUGUGCCCCAGCACACACGCCCUGGCUCUCACCGAUGCUGCAGGAGCUUCAGCAGAAGGUCGUUGCCUCGGUUGGACAUGAUGUCCUCAGGAACCCUGGGGGUAAGAAGAAUGUGCCCUGCGGGAAAAGGGAACCACCUCCAGUCAGAAAACUCCCAGUUCCAACCCAGCCCUUCCCUCGAAGAGGAGGCCUGGGAGCUACACUUACUCCAGC